UACGAAGGGGGCUAGCGUUGCUCGGAAUCACUGGGCGUAAAGGGUGCGUAGGCGGGUCUUUAAGUCAGGGGUGAAAUCCUGGAGCUCAACUCCAGAACUGCCUUUGAUGCUGAAGAUCUUGAGUUCGGGAGAGGUGAGUGGAACUGCGAGUGUAGAGGUGAAAUUCGUAGAUAUUCGCAAGAACACCAGUGGCGAAGGCGGCUCACUGGCCCGAUACUGACGCUGAAAAGCGAAAGCCAGGGGAGCAAACGGG
rnacentral:rRNA from 1 species